ensembl:lincRNA
AUGGGGCCCACAUGGAGGCUGCAGCACCCCGCUGGGUCGCAGGAACGCAGGGAGAUGGUGCUGCCCCAGGACAGAAGAGCCCUCAGCUGUGCUCAGAUGCCCUGGACUUGGCUGACUGGUUUGCUGAGAAGCAGCCUGAGCCUUGCUUCUGCCACACAAGAACAUGUUAGGUAUCAGGACGUGUCCCAGCACCGGAAAGCACAAGCUCUGCAUUUUCACGGAGAAUGUCUUAGAACACAAAUCGUCCUGAAGGGCCUCUCUCCCCGUGCUCCUCUCCACAUCUUUAUUGAGAUGGCUGCUGCUUCCCCUCACCCCAAAUACCGAGCUUCCCCUAAGUCUCAGUCCGCCUUGCUCCUGAAGCCCCACUGCUGCUCCCCACGCUUCCUGUCUCUGGCCACACUGCGUCCAUCAAGGUCGGCAAAUCCUCAGGCUUUCCACAGUCUCCAUGGUGACCACGCAGCUCUGUGUCAGGGCUUCAGCUGGCCAGGGACAGCGUGGGAGCUCACGCACACAGCAUGUUCCAAUAAAACUUUAUGUAUAGGCCUUGAAAUUAGAAUUUUCACUGGUUACAUGACAUUAGCAUUUGAUUUUGUUUCAGCCAUUUCAAAGGUGAGAAACCGGUCUUAGACCCUGGGCUGCACCGAGCCAGGGGUGAGCUGAGAUCAGCCUGAGCCUUAGUUUGCUGAUUUGUGUUGUGGUGAGCUCAGGCUCUGGAUGCUGUUAGGGUUCUCUCUACCUCAGCCUCGUCCUGAGUCCUCUGGGUGAUGGAGACACGGAGGCGGGACUGCAGGGAGGGCUCUCUCUCUCUCUCUCUCCUCCCCACCCACCUCUAUUCCACCAGGAGUAAUGGUUCCCACCCCUGUCCUUGCCCAGCCGCGAGUCUCAGCUUCCACAGGGCUGGGGAGCAACAGGAAGUCAUCAAAGAGAGACCUUUUCUGCGUCAGCCCUCUUGUGGACCCAGAGCCUGCCGGUUUUAUUUUAUUUCUCUCCUUGUCUGCAAGAUCAGGUGGGGAAACCAAGGCUGGGUCAAGCUGUAAGCAGGCUGAGAGAGCAGGGC